rnacentral:hammerhead_ribozyme from 1 species
AUCCAGCUAACGAGUCUCAAAUAGGACGAAGUGCUCGUCCUGGAU